UCGAAACAGCUGUGCAGUUGCUAACCAAUGACAAUCGGAGGAAAUCUUUCGGAGUAUAGAUUCCCAAGCAGCCGUAUUUAUACACAACCUACACAUCAUCAAAGCAUCCCUUUUGCAAUGCCUGUCAGAACGCUUGGUUUUCCGUGAGCGUGAAGAUGCUUUGGUAUUCAAAGCCGUAUACCUGUAGGACAAGUCAUGGACUGAACAGGGUUUUGGACUCACUUGUGGAAUUUUAUGCUUGCCCGUGGCACGAUGCCUUAUCUGACUAAACCGCUGUUUUUACUCUUCUGUUUGGUCGUUACUGGGGAAUACCGUAGGCUUGGACACCGAGUACGGAGAUGGACGGAAACCGUGGAGACGGUAAAGCAUGGACCAGAGACCACAAAGCAUGGCCCUUCCUUGACAAAGAAACCUCCAGAUGUGACCAAGAAUCGCAAGCUGAAGACAGAGCAGCUUCUGAAAGUAGAUGAUCAUGAUUUCACCAUGAGGCCGGCAUUUGGAGGCCCUGCUAUCCCAGUCGGAGUGGACGUACAGGUGGAAAGCCUGGAUAGCAUCUCAGAAGUAGACAUGG